rnacentral:rRNA from 1 species
NNNCGAUUGAAUGUUUCGGUGAAGAUUCCGGACCGUGGCUCGUGCGCUUCACGGCGCAUUUGCCGUGGGAAGUUAUCUAAACCUCAACAUUUAGAGGAAGGUGAAGUCGUAACAAGGUUUCCGUAGGUGAACCUGCGGAAGGAUCAUUA